rnacentral:lncRNA from 1 species
CCGAACCCAGCCGAGUUCAGCCGAAGAGCCGAGUGUAGCCGAACCCAGCCGAGUUCAGCCGAAGAGCCGAGUGUAGCCGAACCCAGCCGAGUUCAGCCGAAGAGCCGAGUGUAGCCGAACCCAGCCGAGUUCAGCCGAAGAGCCGAGUGUAGCCGAACCCAGCCGAGUUCAGCCGAAGAGCCGAGUGUAGCCGAACCCAGCCGAGUUCAGCCGAAGAGCCGAGUGUAGCCGAACCCAGCCGAGUUCAGCCGAAGAGCCGAGUGUAGCCGAACCCAGCCGAGUUCAGCCGAAGAGCCGAGUGUAGCCGAACCCAGCCGAGUUCAGCCGAAGAGCCGAGUGUAGCCGAACCCAGCCGAGUUCAGCCGAAGAGCCGAGUGUAGCCGAACCCAGCCGAGCUCAGCCGAAGAGCCGAGUGUAGCCGAACCCAGCCGAGUUCAGCCGAAGAGCCGAGUGUAGCCGAAGAGCCGAGCUCAGCCGGGUUUAGCCGAUAAAAGCCGAAUGUAGCCGAGAUUAGACGAAUCACGCUGGCGCCGCUGAGCGCAGCGGGCGGCUCCGAGUUCCGCCGAACCGAACCGAGCCGAGCCGAGUAACUCAGAGCAGAAACGAACCCGCAGAGUCUCAGCAGCGCGCCCAGCACAGCUCUAAGAUCAGGAGGAAAUGGUGUUCAUGCCCCGCUGGGAAAGCACGCAGCAGGAUCAGUGGUGCAGCUGUGUCUGUCCUGCUCUCUGCACUGUUUCAAGGAUGCCCCAUUAACACUCACGAUAAUGAAUUCUGCUGCUGCCACUGGGGCAUAGCAGAUGCAGUCCACGUGCACCGUGCAAGAGGGUUUUAAGGAAAUAACACAGAUAAACAUAGAUACAAGCACAUGAACAUAGGAGCAUGACCCCAUGUGAAAUCUUUUCUCAUUCAUAUCUCUUUACUCUUGUGACUGAGGGCAUCUCUUAUCUUACAGUCACAUAAAGUUGUGGGUUUUUUGUAAAAGAUAGAACUAAACAGUGCUAAAUGCAUGAAUGGAAGAAUGCUAAUCUCCAAAUAAACACGGAGACUAAGGCCCAUGAAGGAAUUGGAGAUCAAAGAACUGAUGUGGUCACACAUGAAAAUGUGGUAGUGGGACGGAUCUUUGACUAAUUAAUUCUUACAGGAAUUUUGACUCCACUAGUGUUAAAAGUGAAUCUCUGCACAUGAUACAUUAAGCCUGAAGGCAGUAAAUUAUUUCACCGUUGAGCACCUGAGCUAGACU